GGGCGUAGCUCAAUUGGCUAGAGCGCCAGCUUGUCACGCUGGAGGUGGCGGGUUCGAGCCCCGUCGCCCUCGUUUCCA
rnacentral:tRNA from 1 species